AGUGAACGCUGGCGGUAGGCCUAACACAUGCAAGUCGAACGGCAGCACAGUAAGAGCUUGCUCUUACGGGUGGCGAGUGGCGGACGGGUGAGGAAUACAUCGGAAUCUACUUUUUCGUGGGGGAUAACGUAGGGAAACUUACGCUAAUACCGCAUACGACCUACGGGUGAAAGCAGGAGAUCUUCGGACCUUGCGCGAUUGAAUUAGCCGAUGUCGGAUUAGCUAGUUGGCGUGGUAAAGGCCCACCAAGGCGACGAUCCGUAGCUGGUCUGAGAGGAUGAUCAGCCACACUGGAACUGAGACACGGUCCAGACUCCUACGGGAGGCAGCAGUGGGGAAUAUUGGACAAUGGGCGCAAGCCUGAUCCAGCCAUACCGCGUGGGUGAAGAAGGCCUUCGGGUUGUAAAGCCCUUUUGUUGGGAAAGAAAAGCAGCAGGUUAAUACCCCGCUGUUCUGACGGUACCCAAAGAAUAAGCACCGGCUAACUUCGUG
rnacentral:rRNA from 1 species